UACGUAGGGUGCGAGCGUUAAUCGGAAUUACUGGGCGUAAAGCGUGCGCAGGCGGUUCUCCAAGUCCGUUGUGAAAGCCCCGGGCUCAACCCUGGGAAUGGCAGUGGAAACUAGGGGACUGGAAUCUGGCAGAGGGGGGUGGAAUGCCGCGUGUAGCAGUGAAAUGCGCAGAUAUCAGGAGGAACACCGGUGGCGAAGGCGGGUCUCUGGGCCGUAACUGACGCUGAGGAGCGAAAGCGUGGGGAGCGAACAGG
rnacentral:rRNA from 1 species